AUGAAGGGAGUGAGAGAAAGAGAGGGAGAGAGGGGGAGGGAGGGGAGGGAGGGGAGGGCUGUUGCUACAGACUCCUGCUGCCGUAGUGUAGUACCACACUCUUGGCAAAUGAGCGGCCGCAGACGGAAGUCACAGGCGGCCAGACAAGCGGACAGGAAGCGUGGCGUGGCCCCCUCUUUCUCUCUGUCUGGACACUCCCAGUGGCUGUUCCCCAGGCGACCGGGCCACUGGGUUCGGGCUAAACUGACUGCAGGAGGAGCGUCAGCUCCGUAGUAGAGAGGACAGCAGGACAGCAGCCAGACUGUGCUUGGGGAGCAGUGCGGCCAGGCUGCAGAUAUCAUCCAUCUCCCUGUCACUGGCCCAGGGGCUGCUGGGAAGGCAGCAGACAGCUCCUCGGCUCUGACGACCGGAGCUGCAUCCUAAUUCUCCAACUCGGAUCGCACGGAACCAUCACUCUCUACACUCCUCCCCCGCCACCCAGGACGGAAAAUCGUUAACCCUGCAAUCUGGGAACAAAGCACAGCGCUAAGCCAGUCUACCAAAGCCUGUUGCUCGCAUCUUCUCCAUUAUUCCUCAUAUUUGACCAUGUCUCACAGUUCACACACUGACUGGGCAAUGAGUUGUUAAUGAGGUGAAAGACGAGAAUUUGAAAGCCCUAGCUGAAUCUCAGCAAACAAUCUGAAAUAGUUCCACUGCCUGCACUUCUGUUGGUAAACUUAGCUUAUUAUGUUUAUUAUUUGUAAGGUCUUCUAUCCUGCAUUGACUUUUGCCGAUAACUUAUUCAUUGACUAGAAUGCACUUACUACUAAACUGUGUGGUAAUUUCAACUAGCUUUCUUCAAACGUAAGCACUAACUGUAAGUCACUCUGGAUAAGAGCGUCUGCUAAAAGACUACAAUGUAAUAAAAAAUAAAAAGAAGUAACGUAAAUAAUGUCAAUGUCAAAAACAUCCUGAAGAUGGAUUAUUAUUAUACUACAUUGCCCAAAUCAUACAAACCUUCCAGAUGUUCUAAGAUAUUUAGAAGAUGCUAUUAAGUAAUGUAGGGCCUUUCUAUGUGAAGGGGGUGUAAUAUUAUUUAUGCAAAUGUUUGAUAUCUUUUGUUGACAUAUUAGUUGUCCUAUUAACACAAAGAAAUGUAGGCUUCAUAAGCUUUACAAGACACAAAGGCAACCCAUUUAUGUUGCCACCCAUUUAUGUACUGUCAUGAAAAGUUCACCUUGUGAGGUAACCAGUUCAUGUUAAUUGCAGAUCAAAUUGUGAAUAAAAUGACAUCUCUAAAGUUCUUCCUAACAAAUUAAUGUUUUAAUGUUCUUCUAAUCAAUAUACCUAACACACAUUUUGUAACAUUAUGAAGCCAAACAGUGAUCAGUCAAUAAAAUUUUAUAUUUCAUAUUUUAUAUCUUCCUGGGCUCUCCAUGGUGGAUAGUGGCCUCUUUAAUACCUUCGCCUUGUGGUGGGAAAAAGAACAUUCACAGAGGACUUCUGCUGUCAGUUUUUCUAUCGCUGGGAAAUCAGUUGAACCGCAACUCAGAAAUGUUGCUCUGAACUCAUAAGACCCUCCUGAACUUGCAAGCUGAAGAAUCCAUUCCUGCACCACACAAAGGAGACUUUGAUUUCUGAUGAGUAAAACAAACACCAUGCUUGUACAUGUUAUCUGAAUCUGCUGACUGUUCUCUUGAAGUUUUGGCCCCAAGACAUCUCACAUAAAAAACAACAAGACAUCAUCCGCACAUGGCCAACCACAAGCUUCUCCCUGUUACAAAUGGAGCUUAAAAAAACCCUCAGCCAAAGCAAACAACUGUCAGUUGGAUACAAUCAGUGGUAUGUCUCUCUCUCUCUCUCUCUCUCUCUCUCUCUCUAUGUGUGUGUGUGUGUGUGUGCAUGUGUGUAAAAAACAAAGUGCAUGUAUGUGUAUCAUUGUUUUAUCCUUUAUUUUACGAAAGAGACCACAUUGAGAUUUACAUCUCUUUUACAAAUGUGUCCUGGACAAGAUAGCAGCUGACAUAAUUAACACAACAUAAAAGAAAAGUUGAAACAUAUGUGUAAUUAGAGUUGAAACAAGCUGAUUUAAAAAUUUGCAAUUUCAGUGUAGAAACCGCUCAAUCUGUGAUUUAAAAUCAG
ensembl:lncRNA